UUGGGAGGAUUUCCGUGUGUUUUUCCAGAGAAGGUGGUCGUUGGAUUAAAAAAGUGAGUAAUCCGGAGAGAUAUUUGGAUUUGUUCGGUACAGGGAGUUAAUCCAGUUUGGAUCAUGCGGCUGGAUCAGCAGGUGGAUAUGGAUAAACACACAGUCACGUGGGAGUUUGGAUAAGGUUGUGAGUUGUGUAAGGUGAUAGGGAGGACAGGUCGUAUUACGUCACCAGACCACCAUGUACUGCAAUGAUAUAUGCUCGGCCGUGUGGACCAGCCAUCCUGAAACCCCCUGGAAAAACUGUGAGUGGAACCCAGGUGUAACGGACAGGACGCCAAGAAAUGACUUCACGUUCUGGACCAACAAUCAGG